GAUGAACGCUGGCGGCGUGCCUAAUACAUGCAAGUCGAGCGAACAGAUGAGGAGCUUGCUCCUCUGACGUUAGCGGCGGACGGGUGAGUAACACGUGGAUAACCUACCUAUAAGACUGGGAUAACUUCGGGAAACCGGAGCUAAUACCGGAUAAUAUAUUGAACCGCAUGGUUCAAUAGUGAAAGACGGUUUUGCUGUCACUUAUAGAUGGAUCAGCGCCGCAUUAGCUAGUUGGUAAGGUAACGGCUUACCAAGGCAACGAUGCGUAACCGACCUGAGAGGGUGAUCGGCCACACUGGAACUGAGACACGGUCCAGACUCCUACGGGAGGCAGCAGUAGGGAAUCUUCCGCAAUGGGCGAAAGCCUGACGGAGCAACGCCGCGUGAGUGAUGAAGGUCUUCGGAUCGUAAAACUCUGUUAUUAGGGAAGAACAAAUGUGUAAGUAACUAUGCACGUCUUGACGGUACCUAAUCAGAAAGCCACGGCUAACUACGUG
rnacentral:rRNA from 1 species